AAAUUCAACCAAGCGCGGGU
rnacentral:snRNA from 1 species